UACGUAGGGUGCGAGCGUUGUCCGGAUUUAUUGGGCGUAAAGAGCUCGUAGGCGGUCUGUCGCGUCGGAUGUGAAAACCCAGGGCUCAACCCUGGGCCUGCAUUCGAUACGGGCAGACUAGAGUACGGCAGGGGAGACUGGAAUUCCUGGUGUAGCGGUGAAAUGCGCAGAUAUCAGGAGGAACACCGGUGGCGAAGGCGGCUAUCUGGCACACAACUGACGCUGAGGCACGAAAGCGUGGGGAGCAAACAGG
rnacentral:rRNA from 1 species